rnacentral:rRNA from 1 species
AGUGAGCGCUGGCGGUAGGCCUAACACAUGCAAGUCGAACGGCAGCACAGGAGAGCUUGCUCUCUGGGUGGCGAGUGGCGGACGGGUGAGGAAUACAUCGGAAUCUACUCUGUCGUGGGGGAUAACGUAGGGAAACUUAUGCUAAUACCGCAUACGACCUACGGGUGAAAGCAGGGGACCUUCGGGCCUUGCGCGAUUGAAUGAGCCGAUGUCGGAUUAGCUAGUUGGCGGGGUAAAGGCCCACCAAGGCGACGAUCCGUAGCUGGUCUGAGAGGAUGAUCAGCCACACUGGAACUGGGACACGGUCCAGACUCCUACGGGAGGCAGCAGUGGGGAAUAUUGGACAAUGGGCGCAAGCCUGAUCCAGCCAUACCGCGUGGGUGAAGAAGGCCUUCGGGUUGUAAAGCCCUUUUGUUGGGAAAGAAAUCCAGCUGGCUAAUACCCGGUUGGGAUGACGGUACCCAAAGAAUAAGCACCGGCUAACUUCGUGCCAGCCGCCGCCGUAA